rnacentral:misc_RNA from 1 species
GUGAAUCAUCGAAUUUUUGAACGCAAAUUGCACUCUCCGCGGAGAGUAUGCCUGUUUGAGGGUCAGCCUAUGAAAAAUCGACAUCGUUGCGGUUUCGCGGUGGCGUUCGUCGGAAAGUGGGUCAUCUUAAAUCCUUUUGAUUUAAGCGACUUAAAAUUUUCUUUUGUUUCCAUGAACGUUUCUAAGAUCGAUUUCUUUACACGUGUAAUGGAUCUAUUUUUACGAGACGUGACCAUCAUAUCGGAUCGCGUCCAUAAUCUUUCAUUAACUAACCUGAUACGGG